rnacentral:rRNA from 1 species
AUUGAACGCUGGCGGCAGGCCUAACACAUGCAAGUCGAGCGGAUGAAGGGAGCUUGCUCCUGGAUUCAGCGGCGGACGGGUGAGUAAUGCCUAGGAAUCUGCCUGGUAGUGGGGGAUAACGUCCGGAAACGGGCGCUAAUACCGCAUACGUCCUGAGGGGGAAAGUGGGGGAUCUUCGGACCUCACGCUAUCAGAUGAGCCUAGGUCGGAUUAGCUAGUUGGUGGGGUAAAGGCCUACCCAGGCGACGAUCCGUAACUGGUCUGAGAGGAUGAUCAGUCACACUGGAACUGAGACACGGUCCAGACUCCUACGGGAGGCAGCAGUGGGGAAUAUUGGACAAUGGGCGAAAGCCUGAUCCAGCCAUGCCGCGUGUGUGAAGAAGGUCUUCGGAUUGUAAAGCACUUUAAGUUGGGAGGAAGGGCAGUAAGUUAAUACCUUGCUGUUUUGACGUUACCAACAGAAUAAGCACCGGCUAACUUCGUG